GACGGAAGGUGCAAGCGUUGCUCGGAAUCACUGGGCGUAAAGGGCGCGUAGGCGGCCGCGCAAGUCUGGCGUGAAAGCCCCGGGCUCAGCCCGGGAAGGGCGCUCGAAACGGCGCGGCUCGAGUGCCGGAGGGGAGAGUGGAAUUCCUGGUGUAGCGGUGAAAUGCGUAGAUAUUCGGAAGAACACCAGUGGCGAAGGCGACUUACUGGACGAUUGUUGACGCUGAGGUGCGAAAGCGUGGGGAGCAAACAGG
rnacentral:rRNA from 1 species